rnacentral:rRNA from 1 species
AUUGAACGCUGGCGGCAUGCCUUACACAUGCAAGUCGAACGGCAGCACGGGAGCAAUCCUGGUGGCGAGUGGCGAACGGGUGAGUAAUAUAUCGGAACGUGCCCGGUCGUGGGGGAUAACGUAGCGAAAGCUACGCUAAUACCGCAUACGAUCUACGGAUGAAAGCGGGGGAUCGCAAGACCUCGCGCGAUUGGAGCGGCCGAUAUCAGAUUAGGUAGUUGGUGAGGUAAAGGCUCACCAAGCCGACGAUCUGUAGCUGGUCUGAGAGGACGACCAGCCACACUGGGACUGAGACACGGCCCAGACUCCUACGGGAGGCAGCAGUGGGGAAUUUUGGACAAUGGGCGCAAGCCUGAUCCAGCAAUGCCGCGUGCAGGAUGAAGGCCUUCGGGUUGGUUAAACGUUA